UGGGGAAUAUUGGGCAAUGGGCGCAAGCCUGACCCAGCAACGCCGCGUGAAGGAAGAAGGCUCUCGGGUUGUAAACUUCUUUUAAGAGGGACGAACACAAUGACGGUACCUCUUGAAUAAGCCACGGCUAACUACGUGCCAGCAGCCGCGGUAAUACGUAGGUGGCAAGCGUUAUCCGGAUUUACUGGGUGUAAAGGGCGUGUAGGCGGGAAGGCAAGUCAGAUGUGAAAACUAUGGGCUCAACCCAUAGCCUGCAUUUGAAACUGUUUUUCUUGAGUGAUGGAGAGGCAGGCGGAAUUCCGUGUGUAGCGGUGAAAUGCGUAGAUAUACGGAGGAACACCAGUGGCGAAGGCGGCCUGCUGGACAUUAACUGACGCUGAGGCGCGAAAGCGUGGGGAGCAAACAGG
rnacentral:rRNA from 1 species